rnacentral:rRNA from 1 species
UAAGGAAUAUUGGUCAAUGGGCGCAAGCCUGAACCAGCAAUGCCGCGUGCAGGAUGAAGGCCUUCGGGUUGUAAACUGCUUUUGUACGGAACGAAAAGGCUCUGGUUAAUACCUGGGGCUCAUGACGGUACCGUAAGAAUAAGCACCGGCUAACUACGUGCCAGCAGCCGCGGUAAUACGUAGGGUGCAAGCGUUAAUCGGAAUUACUGGGCGUAAAGCGCGCGCAGGCGGUUAUGUAAGACAGAUGUGAAAUCCCCGGGCUCAACCUGGGACCUGCAUUUGUGACAGCGUAGCGAGGGUACGGCGGAGGGGGAUAGAAUUCCGCGUGUAGCAGUGAAAGGCGUAGAUAUGCGGAGGAACACCGAGGGCGAAGGCAAUCCCCUGGGCCUGUACUGACGCUCAUGCACGAAAGCGUGGGGAGCAAACA